rnacentral:tRNA from 1 species
CCGGGUCUGUAGCUCAGUUGGUUAGAGCGCACCCCUGAUAAGGGUGAGGUCGGUGGUUCAAAUCCACCCAGACC